rnacentral:rRNA from 1 species
UGGCAAGCGUUAUCCGGAUUUAUUGGGCGUAAAGGGAGCGUAGACGGCUGGGCAAGCCUGAUGUGAAAGGCGGGGGCGCAACCCUCGGACUGCAUUGGGAACUGUCCGGCUGGAGCGCCGGAGGGGUAAGCGGAAUUCCUGGUGUAGCGGUGAAAUGCGUAGAUAUCAGGAGGAACACCGGUGGCGAAGGCGGCUUACUGGACGGCGACUGACGUUGAUGCUCGAAAGCGUGGGGAGCGAACA